GUUCCUCCUUGCGCCGAGCGUGAAACUGUUGCGAGAAAUCGGCGGAAAACUCGCAACAGUUUC
rnacentral:sRNA from 1 species